rnacentral:rRNA from 1 species
UGCGCAGGCGGGCUUGUAAGUCAGUGGUGAAAUACUGCCGCUCAACGGUAGAACUGCCAUUGAUACUGCAAGUCUUGAAUAUGGUUGAGGUAGGCGGAAUGUGUCGUGUAGCGGUGAAAUGCAUAGAUAUGACACAGAACGCCAAUUGCGAAGGCAGCUUACUAAGCCAUUAUUGACGCUGAGGCACGAAAGCGUGGGGAGCGAACAGGAUAGAUACCCUGGUAGUC